UAGCUCAGCUGGUAGAGAAUCUGCCUGCAAUGCAGGAGACCCCGGUUCGAUUCCUGG
rnacentral:tRNA from 1 species